GACGAACGCUGGCGGCGUGCUUAACACAUGCAAGUCGAACGGAAAGGCCCUGCUUUUGUGGGGUGCUCGAGUGGCGAACGGGUGAGUAACACGUGAGUAACCUGCCCUUGACUUUGGGAUAACUUCAGGAAACUGGGGCUAAUACCGGAUAGGAGCUCCUGCUGCAUGGUGGGGGUUGGAAAGUUUCGGCGGUUGGGGAUGGACUCGCGGCUUAUCAGCUUGUUGGUGGGGUAGUGGCUUACCAAGGCUUUGACGGGUAGCCGGCCUGAGAGGGUGGCCGGCCACAUUGGGACUGAGAUACGGCGCAGACUCCUACGGGAGGCAGCAGUGGGGAAUAUUGCACAAUGGGCGGAAGCCUGAUGCAGCAACGCCGCGUGCGGGAUGACGGCCUUCGGGGUGUGAACCGCUUUCGCCUGUGACGAAGCGUGAGUGACGGUAAUGGGUAAAGAAGCACCGGCUAACUACGUG
rnacentral:rRNA from 1 species